UGUUCAGUGUAAGUAUGGCCCAUGCAAUAUUUGGGAUAUACUUAUAUUAAAA
rfam:Camelus ferus unplaced genomic scaffold scaffold157, whole genome shotgun sequence.